GACAGAGGCCUCAAGCGUUAGGCGGAAUCACUGGGCUUAAAGCGUGUGUAGGCGGACGCCUAAGUGUCUUGUGAAAUCCCCCGGCUCACCCGGGGAACUGCUGGGCAUACUGGGCGUCUUGGGCCAACUAGGGGCAACUGGAACAAGCGGUGGAGCGGUGAAAUGCGUAGAUAUCGCUUGGAACGCCGAAGGUGAAAACAGGUUGCUGGGGUUGUGCCGACGCUGAGACACGAAAGCCAGGGGAGCAAACGGGG
rnacentral:rRNA from 1 species